rfam:Lachancea fermentati genome assembly, chromosome: G
CUCUCGGUAGCCAAGUUGGUUUAAGGCGCAAGACUGUAAUUUCACAAGUAAUCUUGAGAUCGGGCGUUCGAAUCGCCCCCGGGAGA